GUGGCACCAUUCAAGUUAAAGCAGUGCAGACAAGCUUAGGAGGUCAGGAGGAGGAGCUGCUGCCUGAGCCAUCCAAGUCCUUCUGCUUAUGAAACUGAAAGGAACUACAAAAAUCCCCACAAAGUGGUCCCUGCUGGGAGAAAGAACCCUCAAGACAAAACUCAAGGGUGUUGCAAUGGGAACACGACCGUGUGCCUUCAGGUCUGUGAGCACUGUGACAUUCCAGGUGACAGCCUAUUUUUAGAUGAAGGUAUCAUUUCCCUGGCAGCCGGCUGAGCCCCUCGUUGGCUAUCAAAUAGUCCUGUGGUAGCGUUUUCGGAGCUGUUGGUAUCUCAAAAGCUGAAUGAAGCAAAAAGCCUCACUGCACGAGGUGCUGAUCUUGAUCUCUCUACCUCUCCCUUCCUGUGCGUGGAGGAGAAAUCCCUGCUGCAGCCCGGGGCUGAUGGGUAGCAGUGUUGCUGUGUGUCUGAGGGAUGGCACUUGGGGCUGGCACUCAGCAGCAGAGGUCCUGGCUGUGCCCCUCCAUGCUGCUGCCUUCCCUCACCCAAACCCAUCCCCAACAUGGGGCUGACCUCACAGAGCCCGGUGCAUGCCUGUAGCUCUUUGCUGGGGCUGCCCACUCCCCAAGGACACCUCUCCUGGAGAUUCUUUUUGGAAUGCUGAAGGUCUCCAGACCCCUCCAAACCAUGGAGCUGGGUGUCUGCAGGCCGAUGGUAUCGCUCUUUCUGGCAGGAUGAGGCUCUGUGUGCUGCAGCCCAGCACCAAUCUGCACCACGGAUGCAGGGCAGCCUCCUCCUCCGUGCUCUCUGCAGCUCCUUCCCUCGCCGGCUUCAGAAGAAGAGCUAUUUCUGGAGCUGGACAAGUUCGGCUGAUGACAACAGAGGUGAAACCAUAAGAAGGAUCACCUCCUUUUAACACUGAACAUGGAACUUGCAAGGCUGAGUGGAGCAGCAGUGGCUUAGCCCUGGUUUAUGGGAGGUGGGAAGCAGGGAGCAGCAAUGACUUCUGCAGCUCUGGUGCUCGCCGCAAGCAGGAAUUGUCCUCCCAAAUCCCUUCCUCAGGCAGCGACCAAAGCAGACACACUGGGUGUGUGUUUUGCAGUCAGCAGGAAUCCAUGGGCACAGAGCUGCAGAAUUCCACAAGAAGCAUGCAUUAAAAUAUUUAAGAGUUUGAUUGAACGGGUGUGUUAAAAAUCUAUCUUUCUGUUGAUGCGCACGUGAAUAUUGUUAAUAUUCUAAAUGUGUGUGUGAGUGCCUUGUUUCAGACGGAGGGGAUGAC
rnacentral:lncRNA from 1 species